CGAGUGAAAUUCAAGGGAGUCAAGUCAGUGUGGCUAAAGCAGUGGUAGAGUGAGGGAGUGUCACGGCGCGUCCCGAGAUCUUUGUGGUUAUUUGCGUGGAGUUAACACGAUCACGUCCCUCGCACUCCCGCCCCUCACGGAUGGUGAGCGCGUGAUGGGCACGGCGGAGCAGCAGAAGGAACACUCCGGGGUCUCUGGGUCCUCCAGCCUGGAGUGUGGGGAAGACGAGACCGGGGGCGUGCGGGCCCCCGUGUCCCGUGGGUCGUCUACGGGCGGGGCUGCCGCCGCCACCUCCAGCGCCAGCGGCAGCAUCGGCAGUGGCAUCGUCAACGGGGGCAGUCGGCGCGGCCGUGCGUCUCCCACCUGCGCCCUGGGCCGCGUGCCGCUUACCAGGCUGUGCGAGGAGAAGCGCGCCAAGCGGUGCAGGUUUUAUCGUAAUGGUGACCGCUGGUUCGGCGGCAUGGUGGUGCCGGUGGGCGGGGACAAGCAUCGCUCGUGGGAGGCACUGCUGGCAGACCUCACGCGGGUUCUGGACCACCCAAUCCACCUGACGGCUGGCGUGCGCCACGUGUUCGGCCUGGACGGCACGCGCGUCACGCAGCUGGAUCACAUCAUCGAGGCCGGCGAGUACGUGGUCUCGUCCUCUGAAGUGUUCAAAAAACUAGAUUACACCCGCGCCCGCCUGCCGCAGUGGCGCGCCCAUGCCAAGCGCAACGAGGCGUUGCACGUGACGCCGCGCACCGCGUUCUCCUCGCCGGUGUCGACGCCCGGCAGCGAGACACUCCCCAGCCUCCCCGGCAGCUCCACGCCCACCGACUCCCCCAAAGACUUCAUCCGCCCCAAGCUGGUGACGGUGAUCCGGAACGGCGUGCGGCCCCGCAAGGCGGUGCGCAUCCUGCUGAACCGCCGCACCGCCCGCAGCCUGGAGCAGGUGCUCUCUGAUAUCACCCAAGCCAUCAAGCUCGACUCUGGCGCCGUCAGGAAGGUCUUCACGCUGGAUGGCAGACAGGUCGUCAGUCUUCGGGAUUUCUUCUUCGACGACGACAUCUUCAUCGCCUACGGGCCUGAGAGACUCUCCCAUGAUGACUUCGACCUGGACAAUGAAGAGUGCAAGACCAUCCAGCCCCUUGUCAAGUGCCCUCUCAGCCCCCGUCGCCCCCGCCGCAUGCCCUCCCCCAAGCCGCGUGGCCGAGCUGUGUCGCCUCUCGCCAUAUAUGAUGGCCCAGGCAGUUUACCACGGUCGCCCCGGAAGCCAGCUGGUCACCAUCACAAGCGGCUGAGUCAACCCAACACACACACCUAUCAGCAGCAGCAGCAGCAGCAGCAGCAUCACCACUACCAGCACAAUGGCCAUGUGGCAUGUGGCGGCCUGGAAAACAUCAUCUUUCCAUCCUGCGUCACCUCAAAGUACUCUGUGGGUCGCAUCCUGGGUGAUGGGAACUUUGCCGUGGUGCGGGAGUGUGUGUGUCGCAAGACAAGGGAGGAGUAUGCCCUUAAGAUCAUAGACAAGACCAAGUGCCGGGGGAAGGAACAUAUGAUUGAAAGUGAAGUGUCCAUACUGCGGCAGGUCAGCCAUCCAAAUAUAGUUAGUUUAAUUGAAGAAUUCCACACACCCACUCAACUCUACCUCGUCAUGGAACUAGUCAAGGGUGGUGACCUGUUUGACGCCAUCGCCAGUGCCACCCGCUACACUGAGAAGGAUGCCAGCUCCAUGGUGCGUGACCUCACCUCCGCGCUGGACUACCUGCACCAGCGAUCCAUUGUACAUAGAGACAUUAAGCCUGAGAAUCUCUUGGUGGUGGAAUAUCCCAAUGACAGCAAGAGUCUCAAGCUGGGUGACUUUGGCCUGGCUGUGGAGGUGACCGAGCCACUGUACACUGUGUGUGGCACCCCGACCUAUGUGGCUCCAGAGAUCCUCAAUGAGUCUGGGUAUGGCCUCAAGGUUGACAUCUGGGCAACAGGGGUCAUCACAUACAUUCUUCUCUGUGGGUUCCCGCCAUUUGUCUCUGCCACAAAUAAUCAGGAAGAAUUGUUUGACCAAAUUCUCCGUGGAAGCUAUGAGUUCCACAGCCCCUACUGGGAUGACAUCUCCGACUCUGCCCGUGAGCUCAUCGUGCAGAUGAUUCAAGUGGAUCAGGAUAAGCGUUUUAGUGCUCAGGAAGUGCUUGAUCAUCCCUGGGUGUCCGACGACGAGGCUCUUGACCGCAACCUCCACCUCCGAGUGUCUCAUAAGCUGGACCUCCACUUUGACACCAACGGGCCUCAACACAAGGCAGCAGGAAUCACUCUGAUGGCUGCGGAGUCCACCCCCUGCUUGCAUACAGUAGAAGUUCAGUAAUGUGUAGCAAGCAGGCGGCCGUGGGCGUGUUGCAGCAGUAGGGGGAGUCUGGGGCCACUGACCACCUCCAGCCUUACCUCCACACCCCCACACCCCCACACCACUUACUUCUACACACACCACACAACUGAGCCAUUGAAAUGCAGUGUUUAUUGUAUUUAUACAUAAAGCAUUGAAUUAUUUUUUUGCUCAUCUGCACUGUAUUAGCCAGUGAGGCUAAAGCAGCUUUCCAAAAUAGUUGUAAUGUUAUGUAUAGAUGUAGUCUGAGAAUUUCUGUAUUUAUUCUGUUCAACCAGCUAGUCAUUCUGCAUUCAUCAAACCACUCAAAUAUGAUGGCUAACUUUCUUUUCACUUUUGUACUCGGUGAGAUAUACAUAUACAUUUAUAUACAUACCCGGUAUAUCUAUAUAUAUAUAUACGCAACACUCUUCACCUCACAAACACUCCCAAAUAGGCGGCCGCUAACAGUCAUGAGUCAGGUGCUAACACCCGCGGCCACACAUGGGGCUUGACAUGGCUUCUGAAGCAGGUCACCGCCCUGGACAAGGAGAAACACAGCCUUUGUCGGGAGAGUGAGUUCAAGGACCCUACCAGCCCUCCCUGCAGCCCAAGACUCUCCCUCUUCACCAACAGCAGCCAGGUCUUCUGAAGGGCUUCACUCAUGCCUUCUGUGGUGCUUUGUACGGCUGUUAUGAUAACUCAUCAUCACCAUCAUCAUCAUCAUCAUCAUCACCGUCAUCACUCAUGUCUUUAUCUGUGUGAAACAGUGAUCACUGAAUUUAUCUUUUUUUUUUUUCCUAAAUGACCACAAUGAUUAGUUAUGAUGAUUAAUACUGGAAUCUCCCUUUUAAUGAUGUUUUUAAAGAUGUUGAGCCAUUUUUUCUUUAUUAAUUGCUGAUAAUAUUGCAAGUCAAGAGGCAAGGAUAUGGGCAUUGUUUUCCUCUUGGGUGGGUGGGCUUUGUUAAUGUGCAAAGGUCUUAGUCAGCAGAGAAUUAAUUAGUCAGUCACCUCUCAUGAAACCACCACCAGACAGCAAACACUAUAUAUACAGAGUCCUCACACAAUUAGUAUUCAGGUUCUUAUGAUUGAUCUCACUGAUAAUCACAAUGAAUAAUCAAAGUUUGAGAAUGUAUCCUCCUCUUCAGAGCUUGAUUAUGAGCUGCCAGGACACAUGAUUGCCUUAACUUGCAUGAAUGAGUAACAUGCAGAGACACGGUGCUCAAUUGUGACUUCACUCUGGUGUGCAUUAUUCAUACUCUUACAUCAUCUUCCCAUGUCUUUCAUUCCAAGGUUGUUUACUCCAUUUUCCAGUAAAUUUUUUGGUGAAACUGAAGUAACUGUCAGGGAUAGAAGUCAAGUAACCUGCCAUACUUCUGCUGUCUAACAUUUUUCCUUAGUCUGAUGUGCUAAGAAUCUCUCAGUUGUCAUGUUUCAUAAGGAGAUUGUCAGCAGAUCAGAUUGAGAUUGAGGAGAAACACUCAAUAUUGGGAGUGACUGUGGUAUGUUACUUGACUUUUUGACCAUGACUCUGCUUCCUCCUGGUUUCCUGGUCUUGAACUUGGGGAUACAUGUCAGGCUUGCCAUCUGUUGAGUAAAUACUUGUACCAAAACAGUAGGUGGUGCAGAUGAGGACUUUUGGUAUUACAGGUGAAUGGCUGUGCGUUUGGUUGGAAUAUAUGAUGGAGAUGUAUAUAUAUUUUGUGGUUCUCUAAUAGGACAAUGACUACUUAAGAUCUUUGUUGUGCUUGUGGCUUUACAUCCUUAGUUGGGAGGAGAAGUGGGUGGUUGUAGCCAAGGUGGUGUGUGCUGUCUUAUCCAUCAGUAAUGUCCCUCAAUUUGUAUUUUAGCAUCCAAGGUGAGAAUUGUCAGGCAAAUAUUUUUAUGCAAUACUUAAUCAUUAUAGUUUGUAUUUUUGUAGUAUGGUUAUGAUUUAUUGCUGUAUGUUGAUCUGAGUUUUCAUUAUUCUUAUGCCAUUAUUUAUUCAUGAUAGAAAAUAUAUGUAAAUUGACUACACAAAAAUUUUGAAUUUCCUGAAGAUUGUUUCCAUCAUCAGUAGCAUUAACAAUAUGAAGAGAAUGUAGCCUUAGCAGAAUUAUAUUUACUAGAAUUCCUUUCAUAAUGUGACAUAAGUAUUUUAUAUUAAAUCAUAACCAAACGAUUGGAGGAAA